GAUGAACGCUGGCGGCGUACCUAAUACAUGCAAGUCGAGCGAACAGACGAGGAGCUUGCUCCUUCGACGUUAGCGGCGGACGGGUGAGUAACACGUAGGUAACCUACCUAUAAGACUGGGAUAACUUCGGGAAACCGGAGCUAAUACCGGAUAAUAUUUCGAACCGCAUGGUUCGAUAGUGAAAGAUGGCUUUGCUAUCACUUAUAGAUGGACCUGCGCCGUAUUAGCUAGUUGGUAAGGUAACGGCCUACCAAGGCAACGAUACGUAGCCGACCUGAGAGGGUGAUCGGCCACACUGGAACUGAGACACGGUCCAGACUCCUACGGGAGGCAGCAGUAGGGAAUAUUCCGCAAUGGGCGAAAGCCUGACGGAGCAACGCCGCGUGAGUGAUGAAGGUCUUCGGAUCGUAAAACUCUGUUAUUAGGGAAGAACAAACGUGUAAGUAACUGUGCACGUCUUGACGGUACCUAAUCAGAAAGCCACGGCUAACUACGUG
rnacentral:rRNA from 1 species